UGUGAUCGGCUAAGCAGCCUAAGGUGUCCUGUGCAAGAGCUGUUCUCCCGAGGAAAUAAAAACCAGGAGGACACAGACCGAUAUACCUUAUUUCCUGCUAUCUUCAGUUAAAGGUGGAUUGCAGGGGGUCUGCUUAACAUCCUUUGCUCCCUAAAUACCUUUUGGACAUGGGAACUCAAUAAAAGAACUUUCAUUGCAUCCAUUACCCUACUGUGGUGCAUAACAAAUUAGAUUUAAAAGGCUACUUUUUUCCCCCUUACAGCUAUUUCCAACAUUUUCUUUAAAAUUUCAAUUUAGUGUCUAGUGCCAGAAUAUUCUAUAAUAUACUCUAAAACUCUUAUGAUACCAAUAACACCAACUGAACAUUACUUCCAAAGAAUCAGGCUCAUCUUCUUAUAGACAAAUUGUAGUUUUUAAUUAACAUAAGGUAAAAAAAUAAAAUUAAGGUAGAAAAUUAAUUAUGCUUAAGACAUGUUAAAUAUGAGACUAUAUAAAGCAGUAUUGUUCUUGGAUAACUCUUUUUAAACUACAAACCUUCAUUCACUUAUUUGUCCCCAAAUUCCCAUUUUUAAAAAAAAAUUUCACUUGAGGUUGAAAAAUAUCAGUGCCACAUUUCUCAAACCUAUUUUGAGAAAUGGUGAGGUAAAAGUCUCAAUGAUAAUAUUUAAAUAUUAUUAUUCUAUUUUAAAGUUCCAUGUGCAGAGGUGUUAGGGCAUGUCAACAGCACAGAACAUAGAGAGCAGUACAGCUUUGUAAAGAACACAGUAUUUGUGGUACUGUAUAGAGAACACAUUUGCCCAUAGACCGCUUCUCCAAUAUAAAUGUUUAUCUUUACCUUUCUGUUAAUGUGAUGUCAGAUCUCUUCAUUAUUUAAAAAAAAUUUUUGGACUCUGUUUUGAUACGCAGAGAUGGACUACUGUCAUUGCAUCAGAUGUGAUGAUCCCUGAUAAAGCCUCAAAUGAGCUGUAUGCUGAAGAACUAGAAAGAAAUGUAAUAUACUUGCUCUCGAAAGCCAUCGAUGUUUGCAGCACUGGAGACCAACAGCACUGCAAUGAUGAUGUAUUGUUCUGCCAGAAAGAGUGGGAAGAGGGGACAGCAAGGAUGCCUGGGACAGAGAGGAGGCAGCUUACAGUCAAAGACGUGAGAGAAGAAAACCAAGGAACCAGAGGUUUGAAAUAUGAAAGUCUUGAAAUCAGCAAACGACCAAGCAUCCAAAAAGAUGAUGGCCCUGAACUCAACAACUUUCCCUGA
rnacentral:lncRNA from 1 species